rnacentral:rRNA from 1 species
CCUACGGGUGGCAGCAGUGAGGAAUAUUGGUCAAUGGGCGGAAGCCUGAACCAGCCAAGCAGCGUGCAGGAUGACGGCGCUACGGGUUGUAAACUUCUUUUAUACGGGAAUAACGCGCCUUACGUGUAGGGCUUUGCAUGUACCGUAUGAAUAAGGACCGGCUAAUUCCGUGCCAGCAGCCGCGGUAAUACGGAGGGUCCGGGCGUUAUCCGGAUUUAUUGGGUUUAAAGGGAGCGUAGGCGGGAUGUCAAGCGUGCUGUGAAAUGUCCGGGCUCAACCCGGGCCGUGCAGCGGGAACUGGGGGGCGUGAGGUCGCGGGAGGCAGGCGGAAUGCGUGGUGUAGCGGUGAAAUGCGUAGAUAUGACGAAGAACCCCGAUUGCGAAGGCAGCUGGCUGGAGCGGAACUGACGCUGAUGCUCGAAAGCGCGGGUAUCGAACAGGAUUAGAUACCCCAGUAGUC